UUAUAUUUUAAUACACAAAAGUGUAAACACCCUACUUAAAAAUUAAGUAUGUAGACCUGCCUAUUUCUAGAUUCAGUCACAGAAAGUGCAAACACAGUACUUAAAAGUUAAGUAUGAAGAUCAGCCCUUUUACAUAUAAUCACCAAAUGUGAAAAUAUCCCACUUAAUCAUGAAGUGGGAGGUCUGUGAUCCACGUGUGUGAUAGUGGAUAAUGAAUCAGAAUUGACUAACUGCCUUCUGGGCAGUCCUAGAGCAGAGAGUCAGCUGUGAUUGGUAGACCUAAAAUUAGGGGAAGGCACAGGAAAUGAUGUAAGAGAAAAUACCUUUAAGAGAGAGAGAGUGCUACACAGAGGUUUUUUUGGGUGGGAUUUUUGGAGUGGAGUUCAACUUGGACUUCUACUUCUUCUGGAGUUCAAUUCUUUAUGUUUUGAAUUGAGCCUGGUGAAGAGGAGCAGAAGAAUCUGCUGACUUGACUGACACGGGAUGAGUGAAAGCUGACUUUUAACUGCUGGAUUUUUCUGAAGAGACUUCCCCAGGUCUUGGGCUACAAGGGCUGAGGCCUAUCUGGUUGAGGACUAAACUCUCCUGCCUGGUUUUUGAGCCAGAGUUCUUUCUCUGAGUGUGGAUAGCAUUCUUUCUCAUAAGUUCCUCUGUAUUAUCCUGGAUCAUUGCAUUGACGCUAGUAGAAAAGUCUAUUACAUUUGAUUGUGCCACAGUGUAUCCAUCUCUGUGUAUAAGUGGAGAGUUAGCUGAGAGCUGUGUGCUGAACCUUUUGGCAUCUUAUCAUGGCUACAAGCUAUUGUGCAGUUCGGUGGUGAGUUUCUGGCUGAAUUUUCCUCCUUUACUUUCCAACUUUUUCCUCUCA
rnacentral:lncRNA from 1 species